AUACGGAGGAUGCGAGCGUUAUCCGGAUUUAUUGGGUUUAAAGGGUGCGUAGGCGGAGCAUCAAGUCAGCGGUGAAAGUUCGUGGCUCAACCAUGAAAUUGCCGUUGAAACUGUUGUUCUUGAGUGUAGAUGAGGUAGGCGGAAUUCGUAGUGUAGCGGUGAAAUGCUUAGAUAUUACGCAGAACUCCGAUUGCGAAGGCAGCUUACUAAGCUACAACUGACACUGAAGCACGAAAGUGUGGGGAUC
rnacentral:rRNA from 1 species